rnacentral:rRNA from 1 species
UACAGAGGUCCCAAGCGUUGUUCGGAUUCAUUGGGCGUAAAGGGUGCGUAGGUGGCGCCGUAAGUCAGGUGUGAAAUCCCGGGGCUCAACCCCGGAGCUGCACUUGAUACUGCGGUGCUCGAGUACUGGAGAGGAGAUUGGAAUUUACGGUGUAGCAGUGAAAUGCGUAGAUAUCGUAAGGAAGACCAGUGGCGAAGGCGAAUCUCUGGACAGUUACUGACACUGAGGCACGAAGGCCAGGGGAGCAAACGGG